rnacentral:tRNA from 1 species
ACCGAUACCGGCCUGGCAUUCGGGCACCUCGGCUGCGAGUCGGUGUGCAAUGGCUCGUGCGGUGGCCAGCGCGUCGGUU